CACUGUUACCUCAGGAUCUUGUUUACCUUUGGACAGGGAGGGAGGGAGAAAUUUAUUUUCUGGGUAGGAGUAAAGCUGGUUCUAUUCCUCAGUUAUGUAAAUUAUCUGUUAUAAUCCAAACAGCUUUACAUGAAUGUUUCUGUAUGUAAUGUGGUAUAUCAAUAAAAAAUUAAAUAUUACAUAUUUGCACCAGAAUCCUAACUCACUAUCUCAGAAUGUUAGCAGCAUUUUCUUUUGUUGUAAAGUGGAACACAAUCUCAUGGCAUUAGCAGAUGGGUUUGAAUAUUCUAAAGUAUCAACGUCCUAAUCUCAUGGGCACCUCUUGGGUCUUUCCAUUUUUGCCUUCAUUUGCUAAGUGGCAUGCUUUUGAUUUUUUGAGAUGAAACUUUUUCCCAGCAAAGUCUUUUCCCCACAGUGAUGCUCUGAAAGCCAGGACACCUAGCACAGGACCCUGGGCAUAGUAUGCACUCAGUACAUGUGGAGCAUGUUGAUCAGGAACAAAAGGAGUAGCAAAGGUCUCCUUUACAGAAAGGGGCUUGGAUAAGGAGGAAAGACCAUCAGAAGAAAAGAUAAGACACUGUCUUCUCAUUCCAGUAAGAGCCACAUGCAAGGCAAGAAUCAGAGUCCAGCUCAGAUGGGGGAACUCUAGGAAGAGAGAAAUCCAUUCCAUGGACAGCUGCCAAGAUAGAGCAGGACAGCAUCAAGGACAUGAGCCGAAAGUGCAAAAGGACUGCUUGACUUUGGAAAAGAAACCAAAGGCCUCUCUGACACUGUACACAUCAGUGAAAUGAGGAGACCCAUGAUGCCUGCUGUGGGGGACCCCCAGAGGCCCACACCGGGCACAGCAAGCGGCCCAGAUCUCAGUCUCUAGGAGACCACCCACUGCCACUUCAGAAAAGCCUGGUGACCUCUCUGCACACUCCAUCUGAAGCCAUUUAUCACAACACAGCCCAGGUGUGGGAACAGUAGGCCUAUUCUCUGCUGACCUGGGAGCAGCUGUCUGAGCUCACCCUGGCUCCAGGGGGACUCUGUGCUAUGGUACAAACCUGUGCCGUGGCCGCCCAGAUGGCCUAUGUCUUUCCCACUGAGGGCUGGCUCAUCCCAGCCACACUCCCUGGUCCCUAGGAUCCGGCCCUGAAUGGAGAAGCUCAGAGCUCCUCCUAGGAAGAAAAUGGACCCACCCUUACCCUGGAGAGGAGAUAAAGGAGCCUGAUAGUGGAUCAAAUGAGGCUUUAGCUGGGGGCACCCAGACCCUAUUCAACAGAGGACACAGCUAUGAGAGUGAGAACAAAGACCUGCUACUUCUCAGGCAAUUUUAGACACACUGUGUUAAUACAUGACAAAACCAGGGACAGUCUUGGGAAAGGAGUUUGAACAAUAUCCUCAAAGUGGAAAAUGUUUCAUUUGAGUCUAAAACUACUGACAAAUUUUGUACUUCAUGUUAGACAUUUGAUGUUUUUGGAUGUUUUAUAACAGUCACACAUUUCUUUGUAAUCAGAAAAUAUUAGGGUAAUGAUUCAUAUGUGUUUGUAUAUUGCAAAGUAUAGCAAAAUGAAUAUAUAUGUAGCUCUUCCCCCUUUAAGUCAAAAAAGGCUGUAGCUCUUUACUUUCCCAUCCUGAGUCAGUAAUAAAGGACUGAUAUCUACUAACCUUCAACAACAUU
rnacentral:lncRNA from 1 species